GAUGAACGCUGGCGGUAUGCUUAACACAUGCAAGUCGAACGGACUCUUCGGAGUUAGUGGCGGACGGGGGAGUAACGCGUGAGAAUCUGGCUUUGGGUUCGGGACAACCACUGGAAACGGUGGCUAAUACCGGAUGUGCCGAGAGGUAAAAGAGAAAUUGCCUGAAGAUGAGCUCGCGUCUGAUUAGCUAGUUGGGGAGGUAAAGGCCCACCAAGGCAGCGAUCAGUAGCUGGUCUGAGGGGAUGACCAGCCACACGGGGACUGAGACACGGCACAGACUCCUACGGGAGGCAGCAGUGGGGAAUUUUCCGCAAUGGGCGAAAGCCUGACGGAGCAAUACCGCGUGAGGGAAGAAGGCUCUUGGGUUGUAAACCUCUUUUCUUAGGGAAGAACAAAAUGACGGUACCUAAGGAAUCAGCACCGGCUAACUCCGUG
rnacentral:rRNA from 1 species